CUCUUUCGGGCUGGGCUUCACACUCAAGUAAGAGCUACUGGCCAGAUGGAGCCCAGCACCUCAACCAGGAAGCAUUUCACCAGCAAUGACUUUGAAAUUGGGCAUCCUCUGGGCAGGGGGAAAUUUGGGCGUGUGUACUUGGCUCCGCUCAAGGAAAAUCAUUUCAUUGUGGCCCUGAAGUACCUCUUCAAGUCUGAGAUAGAGAAGGAGGGAUUGGAGCACCAACUCCACGGAAGUGGAGAUCCAGGCACACCUACAACACCCGAACAUCCUUCGCCUGUACAACUACUUCUACGAUGACACUUGGAUAUACUUAAUUCUGGAGUAUGCUCCAGGAGGCAAGCUCUAUAAGGAGCUUCAGAGAUAUCAGAAGUUGGCCCAGCAGCAUACAGCCACGAUAAUACAGGAGUUGUCAGAUGCCCUGACCUACUGCCAUGAGAAGAAGGUGAUUCACAUGGACAUCAAGCCAGAGAAUCUCCUGCUGGGCCUCAAUGGUGAGGUGAAGAUCUCAGACUUUGGGUGGUCUGUGCAUUCCCCUUCUCUCAGGAGAAAGACAAUGUGUGGGACUCUGGACUACUUGCCCCUGGAAUGAUAGAGCAGAAACCGUACAAUGAGAUGGUUGAUCUGUGGUGCAUUGGGGUGCUCUGCUUUGAGCUGCUGGUGGGGAAGCCACCCUUUGAGAGCAGCACCUCCAGUGAGACAUAUAGACAUAUCUGCCAGGUGGAUUUUAAGUUUCCUUCAUCAGUGCCUGCAGGAGCCCAGGACAUGAUCUCCAAGCUUCUUAGUCACCAUUCUUCAGAGCAGCUGAGCCCGGCCCAGGUCCUGAAGCACCCCUGGGUCAGGGAACACUCUCGAAGGGUGCUGCCUCCCUGUGUUCAUGGGGCUUCCUGAGCCCUGUCCAUCUCUAUCCCUAUGUAUUUCUUCAGGAAGCU